AGUUGUAUGAGCCCAUUAUUAUUCAAAUCUCGGCCCGACAUGACUUUUAGGUUUGUAUUAGCAUCUAUGUGGUCAUGGUGGAUGUUCAGCACUGUAAACAAUCAGUUUUCAUGGUUUCCGAUGGUUGAAAUGUUUCCCCUUUUCUUUAUUUCACCAUUAAUCCAAUCAUUUAACUACGCUCCACAUCCUCUUCCACUCCGUCUCAUUAAUUCGGUCUCAUCAUCGUUGAAGGUAACGGUUUGAAGCUCGACGUAUAAAUGUCUUCUCCCGGAUGGAUCCAGACCUACACCGGCCAGUUAUCUGCAACCUUAAAUCCAUCUUGCCUGCGCUCGUCACCAAUUUCAUUCAGUAUAUAUAUGAAUUAGAAAGGAGGCCACAACAAAUCUGUUCGUCUCCCAUACUUUAUCAAACCCAAAUCUCUGAAGGAAAUUAGGCAAGUGGGAACCAAAGAGCAUCGUAAGAAUAACUCUGCUGAUUCGGGUAGAAAAAGCUUAGUCUUGUCUGAAUGGUAACUGAGAGAAAAACCAUUAUAGCUGCAGCUAAGGCUUUGCAAAUCUUGAAGGAAGAAAAUAAACCAAAGGAGUAGGGUGUUCUAAGUAAGCCAAAUAAAAUCUAAGUUAGCUUUUGAACCUGUAAGAUUCUUUGUAAGAACUUUGUAUUUCCAUUUACAGACAUGUUGUGUCUUCA